rnacentral:rRNA from 1 species
CCUACGGGAGGCAGCAGUGGGGGAUAUUGCACAAUGGGGGGAACCCUGAUGCAGCGACGCCGCGUGGGUGAAGAAGCGCCUCGGCGCGUAAAGCCCUGUCAGCAGGGAAGAAAAUGACGGUACCUGAAGAAGAAGCCCCGGCUAACUAAGUGCCAGCAGCCGCGGUAAUACGUAGGGGGCAAGCGUUAUCCGGAUUUACUGGGUGGAAAGGGGGCGCAGACGGCGAUGCAAGCCAGGGGUGAAAGCCCGGGGCCCAACCCCGGGACUGCUCUUGGAACUGCGUGGCUGGAGUGCAGGAGGGGCAGGCGGAAUUCCUGGUGUAGCGGUGAAAUGCGUAGAUAUCAGGAGGAACACCGGUGGCGAAGGCGGCCUGCUGGACUGCAACUGACGUUGAGGCCCGAAAGCGUGGGGAGCAAACAGGAUUAGAUACCCCAGUAGUC